rnacentral:rRNA from 1 species
UACGAAGGGGGCUAGCGUUGCUCGGAAUUACUGGGCGUAAAGCGCACGUAGGCGGCUUUCUAAGUCGGGGGUGAAAUCCUGGAGCUCAACUCCAGAACUGCCUUCGAUACUGGAAAGCUCGAGUCCGGGAGAGGUGAGUGGAACUGCGAGUGUAGAGGUGAAAUUCGUAGAUAUUCGCAAGAACACCAGUGGCGAAGGCGGCUCAGCUGGACCGGUACU